UGACGUCAAAUCAUCAUGCCCUUACUGUUCUGGGCUACACACGUGCUACAAUGGCCGGUACAGACGGACGCAAAGCCGCGAGGUGGAGCAAAUCCUAAAAAGCCGGUACUCAGUUCGGAUUGCAGGCUGCAAUUCGACCUGCAUGAAGUCGGAAUCGCUAGUAAUCGCAGGUCAGCAUACUCGCGGUCGAAUACGUUCCCGGGCCUU
rnacentral:rRNA from 1 species